GGUGGUAUGGCGCAAUUGGUUAGCGCAUUCGGCUGUUACGUGCCCGAGUAACUCGGGUUAAGCAACCGAAAGGUUGUAAGUUCGAUCCUUACUACUACCG
rnacentral:tRNA from 1 species